AUGCUUCCCCGUGUUGUGAAUCUGCUGGUCACCAAGUCCGGCGGCCGCCGCCCGCCCUUCGACCUGCACCGCAUCGAUCCCUCAGGCUUAUUCUACCCUACCGGAUUACCAAAACCAGCAAAUCCAGCUCCGGCCACGGCUCGGCUUCCUCCCGCCGCCAUAUCCUUCGACUGCUCGUGCCCAUGGCAAGGAUACGGGUUCAUGGAUUUCAUGGCCCUCAACAACGACAUCAUCACCAUGGAGCACACGGCCCACACCCUCAUCUACGACGGCGCCUCGUGCGACGUCCGCAACAUGAACCAGAUGAUAGCCCCCAGGCGCACCUCCAUGUCCAUCACUGUUGGCGACACUCUUUACGUCAUGGACCUGCGGUCCAAGGUAUACUACUUCAAGGUUUUCAGCUACGGACGACCACCUCUGGGGUACUGGUACCGGAGUUGUCUCCAACCGCCGCCCCUUGAUCCCAACGACCCGCCUGUGCCCCACCGGCGCCCCUAUGCGGUUAGCGCCUACGCGGUGGUUGGCGACUCGCAGAUCUGGAUGUCCAUCAUGGGCGCCGGCACGUACUCGUUCGACGUAAAGAACGGCGCAUGGAGGAAGGCAGGCGAGUGA
rnacentral:rRNA from 1 species